AACGAACGCUGGCGGCGUGCCUAACACAUGCAAGUCGAACGAAGGCUCCGGCCUUUGUGGCGCACGGGGGCGUAACGCGUGGGGAUCUGCCCUUGGGUUCCGAAUAACGUCCGGAAACUGACGCUAAUGCCAGAGGGUCACAUAACGCCAAAGAUUUAUCGCUCAAGGAUGAGCCCGCGUCGGAUUCGCUAGUUGGUGAGGGAAAAGCUCACCAAGGCGACGAUGCGUAGCUGGUCGGAGAGGAUGAUCAGCCACACUGGGACUGAGACACGGCCCAGACUCCUACGGGAGGGAGCAGUGGGGAAUAUUGGACGAGGGGCGAAAGCCUGAUCCAGCAGUGCGCGGUGAGUGAUGAAGGCCGUAGGGUUGUAAAGCUCUUUUACCCGGGAUGAUAAUGACGGUACCGGGUGAAUAAGCUCCGGCUAACUACGUG
rnacentral:rRNA from 1 species